AAGAGGAUUGUGGGGUUUAAGGAUCCGAUUAGGAAUCGGGUUUACCGACCCAAACCAAAAAGGGUUCCUUCCUCUUACUGCCAGUAUUCAAUAGUCAGUUGUAAUUUGUGUUGGGUUCUCGCUCUCUUUUGCGUUGAGAGAUUCAUCAACAAUUUGGGGAUUUAGGGUUUUUGCUGCUUGUUAAUGGACCACUUCAACUCCUUUGUCCCACUGCAAUAGAACCAGUACGACUCUCUCUCGCUCUCUCUCUACAUCAAUUCGUUAACUUUUCACCACUCAUUUCUAAAGCUUCUUUGAUUUGGCGACAUGAUUGCAGCAAUGGUGGCAGACGGGCCAGUGAAUCCCCAGGUGGUCAAUUCGUGCUGUGCUACGUGGAAACAUAAGUACUCGAAGCUCGAAAAGGGACGGAAUGCACUGCGGGAAGCUGUGCACUUACUUCAACAGGAGGUUGAAAGAGCUCAAGCCGAGAAUUCCAAUCUCAAGAAAGCACUAGAGGAAGAGCGAGCACGGGCAGAUAUUGAGAAAGAGGAGAAAGAAAACGCAUCUGCUGCUAGAAUAUCUUUGGAGAAAGAAAUUUCUGGGUUGAAAUCUGAUAUUUCCCUAAAGCCGACAGGAAAUGUAGAUGCUCAAUAUAGAAGUGAACUAAACCUUCUCAAAGCAAAAGUUUCUGACCGGGACAAGGAAAUUUAUCGUCUCAAUGUUCAUAUUGAGAGAGAGAAGAAAAGGGCAGACUCAGCAUGUAAGAAUGCCAAUGUUGAGAAAGAGGAGAAAGUAAAAGAAUCUGCUGCUAGGGCAUCUCUGGAGAACGAUAUUUCUGGGUUGAAAUCUGAGAUAUAUUCUCUAAAGCAGAGAGAAAAUGCAGAUGCUGAAGAUAAAGGUGAAGUAAACCUUCUUAAAGCUCAAGUUGCUGACUAUGAAAGGGAAAUUAAUCAUCUCAAGAAGCUUAUUGAGAGAGAGAAGAAAAGGGCAGACUCAGAAAGUAAGAUUGUUGAAGUGGAGAAGAAGAAGGCUUCUGAAGCACGAAAAGCUGCUAAAGCUGAAAAAAGUAAGGCUGAUGACGAAAGGAAGCAUGCCAAUACUGAAAGAGAAAAGGCUGAGAAUUAUGAGCUUCAGUUGGAGGCGCUGAAGAAAGAAGCUCAUAAAGCACGUUCUGAUUUGGCUUCUGAGACAUUGAAGCUUGUUGAGGCAAACAAGGAGAUUGGGGGAGAAAAACAGAAGGUGGUCAAGGAGAGAAAGAUUGCAAAUUCAGAGAAGGCCAAGGCUGAAGAGCAAAGGAAGUUUGCUGAAGCCAAUAGGAAGAUGACUAUGGAAGAAAAAUGUCAUGUUGAAAGAUUGUCUUUGGAAUUGGUAGAGUGUAGGAAAAAGAUCGAUGAGUUACAGAAGGAGAUAAAUGAAAUUAGGCGUUUAAGAGAAUCGGAUGAGGCUGCAAACGCCCAAUCUGAUAACAAUAGAAGUGGGGUAGCUUUCCAAGAGAGUAAAUCAGAUGAACUGAAGUUGGUUUUGGAGCAUCCAUAUUUUGAGGAAGUGAACAAAAGGUAUGAAAUUGAAAAACAGAAGGUAAUAAAGGAGAAAAAAGGGGCAGAAUCAGAGAGGGUGAAAGCUGAAAAGCAGAAAAAGCUUGUGGAAGUGAAUUGGAAGAAGGCUAUGGAAGAAAAAUCUCGUGCUGAUCAUCUGUCUAGGCAGUUGGGCGACGCUAAGAAGAAAAUUGUGGAAUUAUCCUCCAGAAAAUUGAUUGAUGCAUCUGCUGUAGAACUUCAAAAAGAUAGGGGUGCUGAAAGUGUAGAAGUGAAUUAUUUGAAGAAACAACUUAAGUUUGAGAAAAAGCAAAAAAAACAUGCUAAAGAAGUGGUCAAGCUGGAAAGAAGUCGUAACAGUAUCUUGCAACGAGAACUAGGUCGCUUGCAAGUGGAGUUUGAUCAAUUUUCACAGCGCCUGGGUAUGCUAAAUAAAGCUUUCUCACAUAGUGCUGAAGGUAUAGACAACCCAAAAAAGAUGAACCUUCAAAGUGGAGUUAAGCGUCUCAAGCCUUGCAGCCCAGUUUUGGAUGCAAGGGAAGCCACGCAACAUACUGCACCAUUUCUUCUUUUAUCUGGAGGAAAUUGCAGUGAUUCUAUCUCAGGUAUUGAUUCUAUAUUGGAGUCUCCAGUCAGAGGCUCUAACCGAAAAAUGUUAGAGAGUUGUGCAAUACAUUCCAGUAUGGAAUCUUUUUCUGAUAGACAGUUGUUGGGCUCACAGGAAAAAUUGGUUGAAGAGAAUGUGCAACCAACAAUAUCCAACUUGUCUGCUGAGGUUACCAAAAUAAAUUGCAAUGAAAAUGCUGCUGUGGUUGCUGAAAACAGUGUCAGAAGUCCUGUUAGAACCGAUGGGGUUGGAAGAGUUAAUGAGCAUAGCAGGAAAAGAAAGAGGAUACUUCAGGUAGUUGAAUCAAUUGAGAGUUUAUAUACAGAGGGUAAGCAGUUGCACCUGCGGGUAGAGGAAAACCUUUCUGUUUUGCAUUUUUUGUUGGACAAGCAAAUGAAAAUACCUUAUGAAGAAGGGAGAUAUCUCCUUCCUAGUCUGCAGGGUAAUGCAAUGCAUGGAAUGCUAUAUGAAAAGGGAAAUGAAGGUAUUGAAGAUAAAUUGGCAAUGCAGAAAUAUGCUGACAGUAAUGAGGAAAAUAUGGCCGAUAAAUUUGAAAAUGAAGUCUUUGGAUGUGCAAAUGUUUGCAGACAAGUUCCAUUAAAUGCUAAUGAGCUGAUAGGGGUUGCUCAAGCAAGCAGAAAAGGCAUAAAUGGGUCUGCUACAAGUGAUUUUGAAACUUUGCCAAGUUUUGAUGAAGUAACUGAUGGGGACUACCUGAAACUGUUAGACUUGGACAAUGCUUCUGAUGAGGAAUGCUACAGGAUGGCAAUGGAAAUGCCACUGUCUCCUACACUUCCUGAGAUUGAGGUUCAAGGCCUUGAAGCAUACAGUGCAGAUAAGAUUAAACCUUCAUUAAAGGAAUCCUACUGUGAAGGAUUGUCAAGUAAAGAAAAACGGCCACCCUCUUGUGGAGUUGAAGUUGAUGCUCUUGACAUACUAGGGAAGAGCGGGAACGGUUUGGGUAAUUCUGCAAUUACAAAAGCUUGUGAUCUCGAGGACUCUGGUGCUGGACUGAUGUCUGAUGCUCCGUUUGCAAGAAACGUGGAGGCUGUUUUCCCCCUUGGAAGUGAACUUGGAUAUGUGGUGUUAUGUAAUUUUAAAGACAGCAGCAGCAUUUCUAGGAUACGUUAUGCCUUCAGAGCUUGUAUUACACAAUGCCCUUUGGUUACUGAUACAGAUUGGAGGGUGCGAGAAACUCUGCUUGCUCUCAAGACUGAAGAAAAACUAUUUCCCAAGGAAAAGGUUUGCGUAUUGUUUUCAUUGUUGCUGCUUAACUUCUCCACUGCUGCUUUGAGUAAAUUUGGGAGCUUGAAUUGGAUGUCAACCCCCUGCUUGGAUUCUUAUGUUGGACACAUGUGCUCAGUGAUGUCUGAUUGGGAAGGGAGAAGCAUAUUUGCAGAAUUUGGUAGUUUGGAGGAAUCACUUAAUAUCAUGGAGGAAUUCCUAAUAAAUGGAAGAUUUGUGGUGUGUAAGGACAAAUCUUCAGAGAUCCUGAUUGAUGGGGUUCAUAUAUCCUCUCGACCUGCAUCAGCCGAUGAGUUGGUAGCAGGGAGCAUUGUAUUAGCAUCAAUAUGUGCAGCAAUUGACCACACUGGUUCUAUUUGCGAGAUGUCUUACAAUAUUUUGCUGAUAAGCUGGUCCAAUCAUUCAUUGAUUCUGACUAUCCUACAUGUUUUUGCUUAUCUGGGUGGAGAGAAGUUUUUUAACUUUGGCAAUUCCAAUUUAGUGAUUAUUUUGAAAUCUAUUGUUACAUACCUUGAGGGAGUAAGCUCAUCAGAUACUGCUAGUUCUUUUAUUCCAUCUGCGAGCAAUUCUCGAACCAUGUUCAGUCCAUGUAUCAAUUGCCCAUUUUUUGAGGAUGCUGUUUCUAUGGAUUCUGCUACAUCAUUGCUUUUAGAAAGGCUCCAAAUGAAUGCUUCUAUUCAUUCAAACACUACUACCAAUUUCAUGGAUUGUGAUCUCAGUGACCUCCUAUCAUUGGUGGAGUUGGUUGCAAUAAACAUGAGUUGGGAAUGGACAAGUGCUAAUAUUAUCCCUCGGCUUUUAAAAGUUAUGGAAUCAUGCAUGGCUGAGAAUGUGAUUGCUGGAAUUAUUGUUCUCCUUGGUCAACUUGGGAGGAUUGGAGUUAAUGACCUUGGAUAUGGAGAUAAAGAAGUUGAAAUCUUGAGGGGGGAAUUAUCUGCAUUUUUAUGUCGGGACUCUGCAACGAGUGUCAGUCUUCCUACUCAAAUUGCCACUGUUACGGCAUUGUUGGGGCUUCUCUCUUCUGAUUUCAAAACAAUUAUUCAGAAUAAUGCGAACUCUGCAGCCAUUGCAAGUCAGUCCGGUCCAGCUGAGUCUAUAAGAAAGUGGUUUUCUUUGCUGCCGAAGAAGCAACAAGAUUUUUCAUUCGACCUUCUACAAACACCUGGUGUAAAUAAGACCCGAGCCUGGGACACUGUCUUGCAAAGCUGACUGCAAGGGUUCUCUGAUGUGUUGAACUGUACACGUAGAUUGUUGUGAGAAUCGUUGAAAUUUUCUUCUCGUUGGGAGAAUUGAGGUUAAUCUGGAGUAGGAAAUUUUGUUGAUUUCGACCAUUGAGUAGGCUGCAAAUCUUGGAGAAAUUGAGGAUUCAGAGACAUCCGACGUGAAUGCGUUUUUGUUAUUUUCACCGAAGAACUUUGUACAGAAGAGAGCAAAUUGCAAAAAUGUCUCGGGACAAAAGGACACUUGACAAUUUGAAGAAAAGAGGUAUCAUAGUAACCAAUUCCAAAAACUAGAUUAUUACACUAUGCAAUUGGCGUUUUAGUACCACACAAUAAUUUGUUUGAAAAACAUAUAGAGACAAAUUUGCAGAAUAUUUUAUUAUAUUAUAAUGUAUGGCCUACAUCUGAAGAAUAUUUUAUUCAUUUUUCAGUA